GUGGACGUUACUCGCAGAAUAAGCACCGGCUAACUCUGUGCCAGCAGCCGCGGUAAUACAGAGGGUGCGAGCGUUAAUCGGAUUUACUGGGCGUAAAGCGUGCGUAGGUGGUGGUUUAAGUCUGCUGUGAAAGCCCUGGGCUCAACCUGGGAAUUGCAGUGGAUACUGGGUCACUAGAGUGUGGUAGAGGGAUGCGGAAUUUCUGGUGUAGCAUUGAAAUGCGUAGAGAUCAGAAGGA
rnacentral:rRNA from 1 species